GAGCAGACAGUUAUCCCUUUUUAGCCUGCUGUGGUUUUAGAGGGAGUCAGUCUGCUAAAUUAAAUGGGGGAGGCCGUGCUGUUCCCAGCCCAGCUGGCCCUGGUGCAGGCUGCAGGUCUCCCCUACACCA
rnacentral:snoRNA from 1 species